UUAAAAAACUAGGAAAGGGCUUCUCUUCGGUCAAAUCAUCUUUUGGAAAACGCCUCCCGGUUUUUCCCUUCCCAGAAAAUCUCAUGAGUGUAUGUUAUUAAUACCUGAAGAACCCUUCCCCUCACCUUUUCUUUCCUUUCAUGAGAUAUAACAUGGCUUUGAAAUUUUAGGUGAUGAAGUUUUAAUCAUUCAAGAUAAAUUGGAAGCCAUAAAAGCAAGGUAUAAAGACAUUACUAAGCUGAGCACGGACAUCGCCAAGACCCUGGACCAUGCGCUGCAGCUGGCACAGUGGCUGCUCUCCGCACUGAGGAGCUCUGUACCUGGCUGGAUGAAGUGCAGGUGGAACUGCUUUCAUCUGAAACUCAGGUCCUUCAGGGAGAAGCGGCAAGCCAAGCCCAAGCGAGACAAAAUGAGCUGAAGAAGGAAGCCCAGAGCAACAAAACCUUACUGGACGCCCUUAAUGAAGUGACCAGUGCUUUACUGGAACUGGUGCCCUGGAAGGCCAGGGAAGGGCUUGAGAAAAUGGUGGCUGAGGACAAUGACCGCUACCGCCUGGUAAGAGACGCCGUCACUCAGAAGGUGGAGGAGAUGGGCGCUGCCCUUCUGAGGUCACAGCAGCAAGAAAAUUGGAGCUGGGCACAUCAUCUGGCUGGAAAGACAUUUCCCACCCACCCUUGCAGCCUGGUCUGGCCACAGACAUCAGUUCUUUCUACUGCCAAGCAGAUGAUAACAGUGCCCUGUGUGAGGAGGGAGUAAUAAGGAAGGAAGAAAUCUGAGUCCCUGCAUGACAGUGUGGAGCAGAGAUAUCCCAACAACCUGCAUUGUUUCUCUAAGGAUUCUCAUGUGAGAGAGAAAUAAAUUAAUGUUUUUCUUUAAGCCAAGUUAUUUGAGAAGCUCUUUGUUGUAGCAGCUUAUGUUUGCACUUAAAGACUUUCAUGUAGGUAUUUUCAUAUUUAUUAUGCAAUCUCAUAUCUAUUAUAUAUAUAUAUGUACACACACAAACCUCAUAAAUAUAAUAGAGCAGUGACUAUGCCUGUACCCUUCACUCAUAAUAAAUAAAACAUUACCAUCAUGCUUGUGGUUCCUAUUACUCUAUACCACUCACAAUUCUUCCUUCCCUCAACCUCCACAGU